AGAGCCGGGUCACGUGACUCUAGCACCUGUUACCAGACACGAGCUUCCACUCAGGAGGACUUCCCUGUUUGCUGAAGCGAGAACUGCUUGUGCAAAGCAAAGCCCUGGGCCACCACAGCUGGGGCAUCAGCACAAGUGUGCGGUGACACGGAGAGGGCAGGUGUGCGUGGAGAGCAGACAGUGAAUAUCAUACAACUAAAAUGUCUCAGGAGUUUAGAGCCAAACUGGCCCCUUGAGAAGCUUGUCCUGAUGCCCUGAGAUGUCCUCGGGCUUCAAGAAGAUGAAGAAGAAGGUGCCGAGGGUGGCACUAGAAGUGAAACAACCCUGGAAUGGAGGAUGAAGCCACAGAGGAAGCAAAAUUACAUGCAAACAUUUGUUCUGCAAACCCAAAGUGUGAAGAAAGUUGGGCUCAAAUACUAGAAACAAGCUCCCUGCCUCUGAAUUUCAAAAUCUUCUUCGUUUGCAUAAAGGCUCACAGAAGAGAUCGGCCUCUCAGCUGGUCUUCUCCCUUAAGGAUCGGCUUCUCACGUCAAGGAAAAUGACACAGACGACUCUAGUAAGGCUCCCUUGGGCCGCAGCCAGGAGAGCAGCCAGGCAGAACCUGGAAGACCAGCCCGGCCACCGGAGCUCAUGGGUGGGGUGCAGGGCUGGGACCAGGGUCACGGCAGUGGGUGGCAGGAGAACCAAGUCCUCGAUGUGCCCUGAAGCUCUGUGUCAAGCUCGUCCUUCUCUUCUGAUGUUUUGACACCCGGGGCAUUGCAGACCCUGGAGGACAGCCACCCACAGAGAGCCAGCAACUCACCCGAGAGCACGCCUUCCAUGGGCCCCCACCCAAGCCAGGGCCCACGCCGGCCACCUCCCCCACGCUCCUGCCUGCAGCCCCUGUCCCCACCCUAACUCCCACAGCAGGGACAGCCCCACCCCCAGAGCGGCUGACUGCUCACAGCGCCAUCCUCAGCCUGCUCACCUGGCUACUCCAUCCCUCCCGAGGAGACCACAGAAAGCUCAGCCCUCCCUGUCCUGAUUCCUCCUGGGGAGCUCGUGGGAUGUGCCAGGCCCUCCUCUGGGAGCUGUGAGGAGCAAACCACCUUUCAAGGACAGUCGUCUCCUGAUCUGCUGGCCUCACUCCACCUGAAUAAUAAAACCUACACUUUGAAACAAGCUCUCACCUUCAGAAAAUGCUGAUGGAUGUGAGGGGUGGGACAGAGAGGGGCCAGGAUGACACCCAGGUCUCAGCCUGAGCAACCAGAGGGUGGGCUGUGGACAGGCACCUGUGGAUGAAUGCCCGUGGACGGGCGUGGGGCACAGGUGUGGGAGGAACUCGGAAGCUCAGCCAUGGACUGGACAGGUUGAAGUAUGUGUCCGACCCUGCUGUGGGCUGAACUGUGCCCCCGCAUUCACAUGUCGCAGCCUGACCCCAAGGGGAAGUGGUCUUUGGGAGGUGCUUAAGGUGAAACGAGAUCACGAUGGGGGUCCUCAAGAUAGGAUCCACACCCUCCUGAGCCCCCACAGGGGCCAUCUCUCGCCUCCCGCAUGGGAGGACCAGCGCCAGGGCGGCUGGCUGGCUGCAGGCCGGAGGAGGCUCUCCCCAGAACCCAGGGCCAGUACCCUGCUCCCAGACUUGCAGCCUCCGGAGCCAUGAGAAGUCAGUCCCUUGGUUAAGGCCCCAUCUGUGGUGUUUUCUGUGGCCGCUGGAGCUAACUAACGCAGACCCCCAAGUGGCACUGACGUCGGACGUGUGAAUGUGGAGCUCAGGAACGAGGUCCAGCUGCAGACACAAGUCCAGCAUCACCCAUGUGGAGCUGCUCGUAAAAGCCCAGGACCAAGGAGAGCGGGGUGGGGCCAGGGGGCACUGUGGAAAGCACAUUCGGAGGUGGAUCAGGCCAGGAGACACCACCGGCCAGGACAGGGGCUGGACAGGAAGCCUGAGGGAAAGCAAGGUGACCGUGGCAUCUGGAAGCCCAAGGAGAAAGGUUUCUCUCAGGUCUCACUCACGUGUCACCUUGAGGGCCUGUCUGCUGGGUGGGGAUGGCACCGUGCCAUCACAGGCACGGCAUGAUGCUGUGCAGACUCACGUGUCGCCGCCACGGCCGUCUACAGCGGAGGUGCUAGGAAGAAUCAGCGCCCUACGUGGAACUGGUCGCCUGUAACAGGGACUUCUCACAGGUGGUGUCCUGGCCCCUGCGAGCUCGGGGAAGGGGACAGGCCCUGGAAGUCACCCUGGUGCCCUAGAAUGGCCUCCGUGUUCUGUUAGCCGGGGAAGCCGAGAAGCACGGUCCCAGCCAACAUGCUGAUGUUCGGGCCUGUGAACGAUCCACAGAAGAGAGAGCUCCUCUGGGGGCCGAUAAACACCAAGAGCCUGCAAGUCUCAUUAAGAAGCCACAUAAUGCCAACUCUUUAGGGUAUAAAAGCAACAUUUUCUUCAUGUUUCCACAUUUGAUAGGGCACUUAAAACGAAGUUGAGCACAGGGAAAAUGACCCUUCCCUGUGUUCUAGAUAAAACCCGCCCAGAUGUGUAAUAACUUUCAGCUGGCUGACAUUUAUCAGUGUUGUAUUUUGACACGUUGAAGUAUCCAAGUAGGUGCUUUCUGUCUCCAAAUUGGCUCAGUGUUGAGCCGACUGAGGAAGCAACACGGGCACCCUUCAUGGCGCUCACUCUGCUUUCUCCUGCAGACGCGUCCGCCCGCACGACCCCCUCUUGCCCAGGUACGCGGCUGUUCCCUGCUCUGGGGGGUAACCCGGUGAAGGACAUGGACACCGCAGCCCAGACUCCUCCCUCGGCAGAGCCUCUGAAGACGGGGUGACAGCAAGUGACCAGAGCUGCUGCACUCCCCGCCGGGGUGUUGCUGCCACAGUGGGCAAGACAGACCCCGAAGGGGCAGAAAUGGGUCUGGGCAGCACCCCAAACUCUCCUAAACCACGGUUUUGGGGGGACUCCUGAGAACAGAAAGCAUGGGCGGCAAAGUGGCCUUUUUAUGACAAAUUUGUACAGAAGGCUCAUCGAGGCUCAUCAAGCAGGAGCAACAAGAGUGAAGAGGCCACGGUAAGACCAGGUUGGCAUCAGCGAUGCCGCCAGAGCCACCGCAGGGCCGGGAACAGAGCACCCGUGGGGCGGGCCUUCCUCCGGAAGCCGUCCGUCCUUCGCAGAGGCGGGCCAGGCGGCUCUCUGGAAGUGUGCGUUUUGGCCCAGCUCCUCCUUCAGGAUGAUCAGAGAGCUGCUGCCACCAAGGCAAUGACCGCUCAGCCACCUGGACGGGAGCCCUGAGCACCAGCCUCCGUGGCAGGGUGGAGCGAGGCCAGGGGCGCACAUGAAGCUCACACAGGCUGCAUGCGAUCUUUAACACCUAUUCAUGGAUUUUGCAGAAAUUGCCCAAGAUUAGCUGGCUGUAGUGGGCUGGGUUGUGUCCCCAAAAAACACGUGUCCAAGUCCUGAGCCCUGGAACCUGUGACUGUGACCUUAUCUGAAGACGUGGUCUUUGCAGAGGUGAUUAAGGUAAGAGCUGCAGACGGGGUCAUCCUGAAUUAGAGAGGCCUUAAAUCCAGGGACUGAUGUCCUCACAAGAGAGAGAAGAGGGUGGUUGGAGGCCCCCAGACGCUGCUCUAUGUCUAUUAAAGAAAUCUAAUUUAAGUUAAAAACACUCCCAGAAAGAAAACCACACACCCAGAUGGCUUCACGGGAAAUACCACCAAACAUUUAAAGAAGAAAUAAUUCAAUUCUACACAAACCCUUCCAGAAAUUUCCAGUGAAGAGAGUGAUCCUGGCUUAUUCUGCAAGGCUAAUACUGCUGAGAGCAAAACCAAACACAGAUGUUACAAGAAAAGAAACUACCAGGCUAGACUCCUCGUGAGCACAGAGGCAAACACUCUUUAAAAAUGUUUGCGAAUAGAAUCCAACAUGUGAAGAAAGGAUCAUCCGUCACACCCACGUGUCAAAGACAGGUGUGUCCUUCCCGCCUCUUCUCUUUAAAAGUUUCCCCAAGAUGCUAGCUGGUAAAAUCAGGCAAGAAAAGAAACAAAGGACCCCAGAUCUGAAAGGAAGAAGUAAAACUCGCAUUGCAGACAGCAUGGUUUUCUACCCAGGAAAUACAGAACCUAUGAGAAAGCCGUUAGAACUUGCAAGUGAAUCUAGUAAGAUGUCAGGACAGGAAAUCUAUACUAGAAAUAGUUUACAUUUGUAUAUACCAGCAACGAACCAUCCAAAAUGGACAUGUCUGAAAGUACCAUGUACAAUAGCACCAAAAUAUUCAUUUAAUUAAUUAAGUCUGACAAAAGAUGUACAAGAUUUGUACACUGAAAACUAUAGAACAUUGUUGAGAGAAAGCAAAGAAAACCUAAAUAAAUGGAGAGAUGUACCCUAUUUGUGGAUCAAAAGACUUAACACUGUUAACAUGUUAUUUCUUCCAUCCCAACAAAAUGGCAGAAGGAUUUUUCCCGUGGAAAUUCACAAGCUGAUUCUAAGAUCCAUAUAGAAACGGAAAGGAUCGAGAAUAGUUGCAAAAGCUUUCAAAAAGAAAAACUAACUUUGAGGACCAAUGCUGUCUGAUUUCAAGACAUAUUAUGAAGUUAUAGUAAUCAGGUUGGGGGAGAACUGGCAUCCAAGUGGAUAAAUCGGUCAAUGGGACAGAACAGACAGUGGAGACAGAAGGACACAUAUGCAGUCCAUCAAUUUUUGACAAGGGUACAGAGGUAAUCUGUGGAGAAAGGAUAGUCUUUACAACAAACGGUCUGGAACAACUGUAUAUCCAUAGGCAAAAAAUAAAAAGCCUUUCAUCUAUACCUAACAUCAUAUAAAAAAUUAGCUCCCAAGAAUAAUAGACCUAAAUGUAAAAUAUGAAAUUAUAAAACUUCUAGGAGAAAAUGUUUGUUGGGGCCAGCCAGGUGGCAUAGUGGUUAAGUUCCCUCCCUCUGCUUCGGUGGUUUGGGGUUUGUGGGUUUGGUUCCUGGGUGCACAUCUACACACCACUCAUCAAGCCAUGCUGUGGUGGCGUCCCACAUACAAAAUAGAUGAAGACUGGCACAGAUGUUAGCUCAGAGACAAUCUUUCUCAAGCAAAAGGAGGAAGAUUAGCUACAGAUGUUACAUCAGGGCCAAUCUUUCUCACCAAAAGAAACAGAAAAAAAGGAAGAAGAAGAAAAUAUUUGUGACCUUGAAUUAAGCAAGGAUUUUUAAGAUAUAACUCUAAAAGCACAAUUCAUUUUAAAAAUGAUAGAUUAAAAACAACCAUAAAAGGCAGAACUAAAAGUAAAUAUCCUGCUAUACGAUCAAGUGGGGGCUUGUCCAGAAAAACAAGGUUGGUAUAAGAUUGGAAUAUCAAUCAGUUCAAUUCAACAUAUUAACAGGAUUAAGGAGAAAAACUAUAUGACAGGUUUUUGACAAAAUAACAAAAAUUCCCAGCAAACUAAGAAUAGAAGGGAACUUCCCCAACCUUAUUAAAGAUGUCUAUGAGAAACCCAGCACCAUUUACCACAGCACUGAAACAAAAUACUUAGGGACAGAAUUUUUAAAAACAUAGGUAAGACCUAUAAAUUACAAGUAGAUACUUCUACAACAGGAUAUAGGAAGCAUGAUCCAUAAAAGAAAUAUGUUGAUAAAUUGGACUUCAUCAAAAUUUAAAACAUCUGCCCCUUGAAAAGAUGCUAUUGAUGCUUAACAAACCAUGACAACACUUAGUGACUGAAAAUCACAACGAUUUAUUGUUUCUCAUGAUUUUGUUGGUUUCCUAGAAGGUUUGUCCACUGCACCUGCUGGGGACCCUCAUUCCACUGCAUCCAACCUGAGGGUGGAACAUCCACCUUGCGCAGGAACGGCCAGCACGGCCUGUCAUCCCCCACACUCUGUCUUCACACAACCUCCACAAGAUCAACACGGCCAACAGCGCUCCUCCAUAUGAGCCAUGAACAAUUAGAAAAAGUAACAAAAAUGUAAGAUUAUUUUACCAUGGCAAAAGUAUAACCUCUCCAGGAAUUAAUCUAAUAAUAACGUGGAAUCAUUAUGUAGAACAAUUUUAAACACUUUCAAAGAAUGUAAAACAAGACCUAAUAAAUAGAAGAAUAACUAUGUUGGUGAAAAACAA
ensembl:lncRNA